GACGAACGCUGGCGGCGUGCUUAACACAUGCAAGUCGAACGGAAAGGCCCUGCUUUUGUGGGGUGCUCGAGUGGCGAACGGGUGAGUAACACGUGAGUAACCUGCCCUUGACUUUGGGAUAACUUCAGGAAACUGGGGCUAAUACCGGAUAGGAGCUCCUGCUGCAUGGUGGGGGUUGGAAAGUUUCGGCGGUUGGGGAUGGACUCGCGGCUUAUCAGCUUGUUGGUGGGGUAGUGGCUUACCAAGGCUUUGACGGGUAGCCGGCCUGGGAGGGUGACCGGCCACAUUGGGACUGAGAUACGGCCCAGACUCCUACGGGAGGCAGCAGUGGGGAAUAUUGCACAAUGGGCGGAAGCCUGAUGCAGCAACGGCGCGUGCGGGAUGACGGCCUUCGGGUUGUAAACCGCUUUCGCCUGUGACGAAGCGUGAGUGACGGUAAUGGGUAAAGAAGCACCGGCUAACUACGUG
rnacentral:rRNA from 1 species